rnacentral:tRNA from 1 species
AGCCCCGUAGUGUAGUGGUCAAUCAUCAGAGACUCUGGAUCUCUGGACCCCAGUUCGAAUCUGGGCGGGGCUA